UACGGGGGGUGCAAGCGUUGUCCGGAAUCAUUGGGCGUAAAGCGUUCGUAGGCGGUAUAUCAAGUCUGGUGUUAAAGCCCGGGGCUCAACUUCGGAUCGGCACUGGAUACUGGUAAACUAGAAUGUGGUAGAGGUAAGGGGAAUUCCUGGUGUAGCGGUGAAAUGCGUAGAUAUCAGGAGGAACAUCUGUGGCGAAAGCGCCUUACUGGGCCAUUAUUGACGCUGAGGAACGGAAGCCAGGGGAGCAAAUGGG
rnacentral:rRNA from 1 species